GAAAGGACAUCAACCGAGACUCCGUUAGUAGUGGCGAGCGAACGCGGACCAGGCCAGUGCUCUUCUUUGAGUUAGCAGAAGCAGAUGGAAAGCUGCACAUGAGUGGGUGAUAGUCCCGUAUGCGACGAUGAUGAGAAGAGACUUGAGUAGGGCGGGGCACGUGAAACCCUGUCUGAACAUGGGGGGACCACCCUCCAAGCCUAAGUACUCCUCAGUGACCGAUAGCGAACCAGUACCGUGAGGGAAAGGUGAAAAGAUCCCCGACGAGGGGAGUGAAACAGAUCCUGAAACCGGAUGCCUACAAACAGGUGGAGCCUGCAAUGGUGACACCGUACCUUUUGUAUAAUGGGCCAGCGACUUAGUGAGACGGGCAAGCUUAAGCCGAUAGGUGUAGGCGCAGCGAAAGCGAGUCUGAACAGGGCGUUCAGUCCGUCUUAUUAGACCCGAAACCGAUGUGAUCUAGCCAUGAGCAGGUUGAAGGUGGGGUAACACCCACUGGAGGACCGAACCGGUGUCUGUUGAAAAAGCCUCGGAUGACUUGUGGCUAGGGGUGAAAGGCCAAUCAAACUCGGAAAUAGCUGGUUCUCCGCGAAAACUAUUGAGGUAGUGCGUCGCACGAAUGUUCCAGGGGGUAGAGCACUGGAUGGGCUAGGGGGUCUUACCGAUCUACCAAACCUAACCAAACUCCGAAUACCUGGAAGCUAUGUGCGGCAGACAGACAGUGGGUGCUAACGUCCAUUGUCGAGAGGGAAAAAACCCUGACCACCAGCUAAGGCCCCUAAUUCGUGGCUAAGUGGUAAAGGAUGUGAGGAUCCCAUAACAACCAGGAGGUUGGCUUAGAAGCAGCCAUCCUUUAAAGAAAGCGUAACAGCUCACUGGUCUAAACAAGGGUCUUUGCGCCGAAAAUGUAACGGGGCUGAAGCCAUGCACCGAAGCUGAGGAUGUGCACUUUGUGCACGUGGUAGCGGAGCGUUCCGUAAGCCUGUGAAGGGGUACCUGUGAGGGGCCCUGGAGGUAUCGGAAGUGCGAAUGUUGACAUGAGUAACGAUAAAGAGGGUGAGAGACCCUCUCGCCGAAAGACCAAGGGUUCCUGCUUAAAGUUAAUCUGAGCAGGGUUAGCCGGCCCCUAAGACGAGGCGGACACGCGUAGUCGAUGGGAACCACGUUAAUAAUCGUGGGCCUGGUGGUAGUGACGGAUUGCGUAACUUGUUCAGUCUUAUUGGAUUGACUGGGCAGGGAAGCGGUUCCAGGAAAUAGCUCCACCAUUAUAGACCGUACCCGAAACCGACACAGGUGGUCAGGUAGAGUAUACCAAGGCGCUUGAGAGAACUAUGUUGAAGGAACUCGGCAAAUUGCACGCGUAACUUCGGAAGAAGCGUGACCCUUAUAUACGCAAGUAUGUGAGGGUGGCACAGACCAGGGGGUAGCGACUGUUUACCAAAAACACAGGGCUCUGCGAAGUCGCAAGACGACGUAUAGGGUCUGACGCCUGCCCGGUGCCGGAAGGUUAAAAGGAGUGGUGCAAGCUGCGAAUUGAAGCCCCGGUAAACGGCGGCCGUAACGAUAACGGUCCUAAGGUAGCGAAAUUCCUUGUCGGGUAAGUUCCGACCUGCACGAAUGGCGUAACGACUUCCCCACUGUCUCCUCCUGAGACUCAGCGAAGUUGAAAUGUUUGUGAAGAUGCAAUCUCCCCGCGGCUAGACGGAAAGACCCCAUGAACCUUUACUGUAGCUUUACAUUGGACUUUGACGGGACUUGUGUAGGAUAGGUGGGAGGCUUUGAAGUGAGGACGCCAGUUCUCAUGGAGCCAUCCUUGAAAUACCACCCUGGUGUCGUUGAGGUUCUAACCUUGAUCCGUGAAUCCGGAUCGGGGACCGUGCAUGGUAGGCAGUUUGACUGGGGCGGUCUCCUCCCAAAGAGUAACGGAGGAGUACGAAGGUCUUCUAGGUACGGUCGGACAUCGUACUGAUAGUGCAAUGGCAAAAGAAGGCUUGACUGCGAGACCCACAAGUCGAGCAGGUGCGAAAGCAGGUCAUAGUGAUCCGGUGGUUCUGUAUGGAAGGGCCAUCGCUCAACGGAUAAAAGGUACGCCGGGGAUAACAGGCUGAUGACGCCCAAGAGUCCAUAUCGACGGCGUCGUUUGGCACCUCGAUGUCGGCUCAUCACAUCCUGGGGCUGGAGCAGGUCCCAAGGGUUUGGCUGUUCGCCAAUUAAAGCGGUACGUGAGCUGGGUUCAGAACGUCGUGAGACAGUUCGGUCCCUAUCUGCCGUGGGUGUAGGAAUAUUGACAGGAUCUGUCCCUAGUACGAGAGGACCGGGAUGGACAUAUCUCUGGUGGACCUGUUGUCCUGCCAAGGGCAUAGCAGGGUAGCUACAUAUGGAAUGGAUAACCGCUGAAGGCAUCUAAGCGGGAAACCCACCUGAAAACGAGUAUUCCCUAUCAGAGCCGUGGAAGACGACCACGUUGAUAGGCCGGGUGUGGAAGCGGAGCGAUCCGUGCAGCUUACCGGUACUAAUAGCUCGAUCG
rnacentral:rRNA from 1 species